GAUCAACGCUGGCGGCGUGCCUAACGCAUGUAAGUCGCACGCACGUCCUCGGACGUGAGUGGCGAACGGCUGAGGAACACGUACGAACCUGCCCGACCGUGGGGAAGUAACGCGCGGAAACGACGUGCUAAUACCGCGUACGCUGGAGCAAUCCAGGAAAGCCGCAAGGCGCGGACGGAGGGGCGUGCGGCCCAUCAGGUAGUUGGCGGGGUAAAAGCCCACCAAGCCAUUGACGGGUUGCGGUCUGUGAGGAUGAUCAGCCAGACUGGGACUGAGAAACGGCCAGACACCUACGGGUGGCAGCAGCGAGGAAUCUUCCACAAUGGGCGCAAGCCCGAUGGAGCAACGCCGCGUGGAGGACGACGGCCUUCGGUUGUAAC
rnacentral:rRNA from 1 species